ensembl:lncRNA
CCAAGCCUGGACAGAGGGAAAGAUAUUAACAACCCUAAAGAAGGACCAAGUCUGCGGAAGGGACCUGGCCAGCUCCGGAAGCACUAGGAGUGCCAGCCCAGAGUUGACCUGGGAGCGGUGCCCUUAGCAGGGCACCGGCUGAGACCACAGAGCCUAUUCCAGUCCCGUAGCAGGGUCCAGGGGACACCCCAGAGACCCAGCCUGGUCCACCAAUGCUGCCUCACUCUCCAAGUCGCCUUCUUCAAAUGCCAGGUUCACCCAGUGACCAGCUGGCAGGGAUUUGCUUGCUGGGAUCCUUUGCCCACAGGGAGGGCCCACAGGUCAUGCUGACCCCAGAAUUCCAGGCUGGGUGGCGUGUGGCUUCCCGUUGUAAAGUGAUAUGUGUCAGCUUUUGGACUCUGCACGCGUGUCUCACCCGGUCCCCCACCCCUGCCCGGAAGACCGGGCUGUUCUGAUGAGAGCAGGUGGUCCAGACUUGUGGGGAAAGGAGGGGGCAUGCCCAGGACCAUUCCGGUGACCCAUCUGGGUGGCUCCCGGCUCCCUGGCUACCUGCCUGACUACCACUGGGCCCCCUGUACCAUCCUUGCCUCCCACCUGUGCCUCCACUGCCCACCCCUCCUUUGAUAGAUGAGGAAACCGAGCCUGUGAAAGGUCGCAUGAUCUGCCGAAGUCCCCGUAGUCAAGAGCGGCAGGACUCUAUGGCAGCUGUGAACAGGGGCCUGGCACAAAGUCUGGCUUGGAUUUGAAUCCUAGCUCUGCAACUUAGCAGCCAUGUGACUUGGGGCAAAUGGUGUAGCCUGUCUACACACCAUCCUCUCACCUGUGCAAAGGACCUGCCUAAGUCCUCUCACUCAGAGCUUUAAAAUCGUUGAUGGACUUAAGAUGCCCCAAUUCUCGUCUCCAGCCUGGACUUCUCUGAACUUCUGACACCAGACACUUAGGUGUUGAAUAGAAAUCUCAAAUAGAGUGUGGCCAUGAUGGAGCACAUGCACAUGCAAGCAAACAUCCACCUCUCGGAGGGAGAUUCUUUCCAUUGCUCAGGAGCUAACAUUUAUUAGGCACCAACUAUAUGCCAGCCCCUGAACAGGGCAAUGGGAGCUUGGAGAUGAAUCUGACAAAGUUCUGCCCUUCCAGAUUCAGGGAAGGUUCCAAGUCUAGCACGAAGAAUUCUUUUUCCUGAAGUCGCUGCCCGGAUGCUCCACAACUUCUGAGCACGUUGGGAUGUGUUUGCUUCCGACUGAGCUGUCCCCGCGCCAAAAUGGACCAGGAGGACCGAAAUCAAGAAAUAGAGAUGGAUAAUUGUGGCAGCUUUAUUUGUACUGAAUGGAUAGACAAACUGUGGUCUAUCCGUGCGAUGAAAUCCUACUCAGGAAUAGUAAUGAAGGCGCUGCGACAUAAUGAACCUCAGAAACUCUGUGUCGGAGUAAAAGAAGCCGGAGGCAGAGAGUACAAGUUGUUUGGUUCCAAAUACUGUCAGUGCUGGCUGUUGCUGAGUGAUGAUGUUCAAAGGAAGGAGGAAAAACUGCUCCUGCUUCUAAUAGACUUGAUGGAAACUUCCAGAACCAGGUGCGCUUCUCCUCUACAGGCCGUUGGGCCGCCUCCCAGAUGCUGUCUGGCCUACACUGGACUGGAAGCCUCAAGCCAAUUUUAAAUUGACCUUGGUCCUGUCUGGCCAGGAUCUAUGCUGCGUGCGAAGUCAUCUUUUUGCUCUAUCUCAUCACCCUGAAUUCCCUGGUCAUACCUCAGAGAUACACCCUAGGGUAUUGGCUUGUCCCCGGGUAAAGUCCUAGGGGUGGCAAGUCAAAAGUAGAGAUGAGGGGCUGGCCCGGUGGCACAGGGGUUAAGUGCACACAUUCCGCUUCAGUGGCCCGGGGUUCGCCGGUUCGGAUCCCGGGUGCAGGCAUGGCACCACUUGGCAAGCCAUGUUGUGGUAGGUGUCCCACAUAGAAAGUAGAGGAAGAUGGGCACGGAUGUUAGCUCAGGGCCAGUCUUCC